GGUAUAAACGUUGUUUGAUAGGCUCUGUUACGAACUGCUUUUCUUCUCGGUGGGCCGCGCCGGCUGGCUCAUCGGUUCUCAAGGUAGAGUCCCAUCCCUGACCCGCAGUCCAAACAAUCGAUUACACCAUCGAUACACAAACAGCUGUGGCGAACGGAACUACACAACACUACAACAAAAGACGACGGAAAUCCACAACAUAAACAACAAAACCUGCAAUAAACUACAAAACGGAUCCCGGUUCCGGACCCAGGCGUACCCGCCCUGCCUUAAAUGACCACCUCAACGUCAUCUCCCUCAUGUUGGCCACCGAAUGGACCUACUUCAUCCUGUGUUGGCCAUCGUGUUUCUUCCUCCCCCUACAGCAAUAAUUACUCGGACAUUUUUAUCAUCAGGUGUGUACAUUUCUUAAUUUCCAAACCAAACACAGACGAGGAACAGAAUGAGAUCACCAGAAGGAAGCGACCAAAGAAAGUUGCAUUUAACGUUAUAAGACACAAUGCGGCGGAGACGCCGAGGGAAUCAUAUAAAUAUAUGUAUAUAUAAUAUGUACGCGUACAUCGAUAUUUCAUCAACUUUAAUCUAACUUCAAUUUAAUUCAAG